AGUGAACGCUGGCGGUAGGCCUAACACAUGCAAGUCGUGGGGCAGCACAGUGUAGCAAUACAUGGGUGGCGACCGUCGAACGGGUGCGUAACGCGUAUGCAACCUACCUAUCACUGGGGGAUAGCCCGGGGAAACCCGGAUUAAUACCGCAUGAUACAUAGAGAAUACCUAUUUUUUAUGUUAAAGAUUUAUCGGUGGUA
rnacentral:rRNA from 1 species